CUGACGAGUGGCGGACGGGUGAGUAAUGUCUGGGAAACUGCCCGGUGGAGGGGGAUAACUACUGGAAACGGUAGCUAAUACCGUAUAACGUCGCAAGACCAAAGAGGGGGACCUUCGGGCCUCUUGCCACCGGAUGUGCCCAGAUGGGAUUAGCUUGUUGGUGAGGUAACGGCCCACCAAGGCGACGAUCCCUAGCUGGUCUGAGAGGAUGACCAGCCACACUGGAACUGAGACACGGUCCAGACUCCUACGGAAGGCAGCAG
rnacentral:rRNA from 1 species